rnacentral:rRNA from 1 species
AGUGGGGAAUAUUGCACAAUGGGCGCAAGCCUGAUGCAGCGACGCCGCGUGAGGGAUGACGGCCUUCGGGUUGUAAACCUCUUUCAGUAUCGACGAAGCGUAAGUGACGGUAGGUACAGAAGAAGCACCGGCCAACUACGUGCCAGCAGCCGCGGUAAUACGUAGGGUGCGAGCGUUGUCCGGAAUUACUGGGCGUAAAGAGCUCGUAGGUGGUUUGUCGCGUUGUUCGUGAAAACUCACAGCUUAACUGUGGGCGUGCGGGCGAUACGGGCAGACUGGAGUACUGCAGGGGAGACUGGAAUUCCUGGUGUAGCGGUGGAAUGCGCAGAUAUCAGGAGGAACACCGGUGGCGAAGGCGGGUCUCUGGGCAGUAACUGACGCUGAGGAGCGAAAGCGUGGGGAGCGAA